rnacentral:rRNA from 1 species
GGACGAACGCUGGCGGCGUGCUUAACACAUGCAAGUCGAACGCUGAAGGCCUGGCUUUUGUUGGGUUGGAUGAGUGGCGAACGGGUGAGUAACACGUGAGUAACCUGCCCUCUUCUUUGGGAUAACGCCCGGAAACGGGUGCUAAUACUGGAUAUUCACUGAUCUUCGCAUGGGGGUUGGUGGAAAGGUUUGUUCUGGUGGGGGAUGGGCUCGCGGCCUAUCAGCUUGUUGGUGGGGUGAUGGCCUACCAAGGCUUUGACGGGUAGCCGGCCUGAGAGGGUGACCGGUCACAUUGGGACUGAGAUACGGCCCAGACUCCUACGGGAGGCAGCAGUGGGGAAUAUUGCACAAUGGGCGAAAGCCUGAUGCAGCGACGCCGCGUGAGGGAUGGAGGCCUUCGGGUUGUAAACCUCUUUCGCUCAUGGUCAAGCCGCAACUGUGGGUUGUGGUGAGGGUAGUGGGUAAAGAAGCGCCGGCUAACUACGUG